UCAGUGAAUCAUCGAAUCUUUGAACGCACAUUGCGCCCGCCAGUAUUCUGGCGGGCAUGCCUGUCUGAGCGUCAU
rnacentral:rRNA from 3 species